UGGGGAAUAUUGGGCAAUGGGCGCAAGCCUGACCCAGCAACGCCGCGUGAAGGAAGAAGGCUUUCGGGUUGUAAACUUCUUUUCUGAGGGACGAAGAAAGUGACGGUACCUCAGGAAUAAGCCACGGCUAACUACGUGCC
rnacentral:rRNA from 1 species